rnacentral:rRNA from 1 species
GUGGGAUGACGUCAAGUCAGCAUGGCCUUUAUGUCCUGGGCUACACGACACGCUACAAUGGCCGGUACAAUAGGUUGCGAAGCCGCGAGGCGGAGCCAAUCCUCAAAGCCGGCCUCAGUUCAGAUUGCAGGCUGCAACCCGCCUGCAUGAAGAUGGAGUUGCUAGUAACCGCAGGUCAGCUAUACUGCGGUGAAUACGUUCCCGGGGCCUU